UACAGAGGGUGCAAGCGUUGUUCGGAAUUAUUGGGCGUAAAGGGCGCGUAGGCGGGCGCGACAAGUCACCUGUGAAAUCUCCGAGCUUAACUCGGACCUGCAGGCGAAACUGUCGUGACUGGAGUAUGGGAGAGGUGGCGUAGGAUUCCGGUGUAGCGGUGAAAUGCGUAGAUAUCGGGAGGAACACCUGUGGCGAAAGCGGCGCACUGGACCAUAACUGACGCUGAGGCGCGAAAGCUAGGGGAGCAAACAGG
rnacentral:rRNA from 1 species